rnacentral:rRNA from 1 species
GGUAACGGCCCACCAAGCCUUCGAUGGAUAGGGGUUCUGAGAGGAAGGUCCCCCACAUUGGAACUGAGACACGGUCCAAACUCCUACGGGAGGCAGCAGUGAGGAAUAUUGGUCAAUGGGCGCUAGCCUGAACCAGCCAAGUAGCGUGAAGGAUGAAGGCUCUAUGGGUCGUAAACUUCUUUUAUAUAAGAAUAAAGUGCAGUAUGUAUACUGUUUUGUAUGUAUUAUAUGAAUAAGGAUCGGCUAACUCCGUGCCAGCAGCCGCGGUAAUACGGAGGAUCCGAGCGUUAUCCGGAUUUAUUGGGUUUAAAGGGAGCGUAGGUGGACUGGUAAGUCAGUUGUGAAAGUUUGCGGCUCAACCGUAAAAUUGCAGUUGAUACUGUCAGUCUUGAGUACAGUAGAGGUGGGCGGAAUUCGUGGUGUAGCGGUGAAAUGCUUAGAUAUCACGAAGAACUCCGAUUGCGAAGGCAGCUCACUGGACUGCAACUGACACUGAUGCUCGAAAGUGUGGGUAUCAAACAGGAUUAGAUACCCUGGUAGUCCACACAGUAAACGAUGAAUACUCGCUGUUUGCGAUAUACAGUAAGCGGCCAAGCGAAAGCAUUAAGUAUUCCACCUGGGGAGUACGCCGGCAACGGUGAAACUCAAAGGAAUUGACGGGGGCCCGCACAAGCGGAGGAACAUGUGGUUUAAUUCGAUGAUACGCGAGGAACCUUACCCGGGCUUAAAUUGCAGUGGAAUGAUGUGGAAACAUGUCAGUGAGCAAUCACCGCUGUGAAGGUGCUGCAUGGUUGUCGUCAGCUCGUGCCGUGAGGUGUCGGCUUAAGUGCCAUAACGAGCGCAACCCUUAUCUUCAGUUACUAACAGGUCAUGCUGAGGACUCUGGAGAGACUGCCGUCGUAAGAUGUGAGGAAGGUGGGGAUGACGUCAAAUCAGCACGGCCCUUACGUCCGGGGCUACACACGUGUUACAAUGGGGGGUACAGAAGGCAGCUAGCGGGUGACCGUAUGCUAAUCCCAAAAGCCUCUCUCAGUUCGGAUCGAAGUCUGCAACCCGACUUCGUGAAGCUGGAUUCGCUAGUAAUCGCGCAUCAGCCACGGCGCGGUGAAUACGUUCCCGGGCCUUGUACACACCGCCCGUCAAGCCAUGGGAGCCGGGGGUACCUGAAGUACGUAACCGCAAGGAUCGUCCUAGGGUAAAACUGGUGACUGGGGCUAAGUCGUAACAAGGUAGCCGUACCGGAAGGUGCGGCUGGAACACCUCCUUUCU